rnacentral:rRNA from 1 species
UGUGGUUAGUUGCCAGCAAGUAGCGUUGGGCACUCUAGCCAGACUGCCGGUGAUAAAUCGGAGGAAGGUGGGGACGACGUCAAAUCAUCAUUGCCCUUUAUGUCCUGGGCUACACACGUACUACAAUGGCCGUUACAACGGGAAGCGAAGGAGCAAUCCGGAGCAAAUCCCUUAAAAGGCGGUCCCAGUUCAGAUUGUGGGCUGAAACUCGCCCACAUGAAGGCGGAAUUGCUAGUAAUUGCAGAUCAGCAUGCUGCAGUGAAUACGUUCCCGGGCCUU